rnacentral:rRNA from 1 species
UACAGAGGGGGCAAGCGUUGUUCGGAAUUACUGGGGCGUAAAGGGCGCGUAGGCGGCCCGCUAAGUCGAACGUGAAAUCCCCGAGCUCAACUCGGGAACUGCGUCCGAUACUGGCGGGCUUGAAUCCGGGAGAGGGAUGCGGAAUUCCAGGUGUAGCGGUGAAAUGCGUAGAUAUCGUAAGGAAGACCAGUGGCGAAGGCGGGUCUCUGGACAGUUCCUGACGC